ensembl:snRNA U2 U2 spliceosomal RNA
AUCGCUUCUCAUCAAGUGUAUUUUCUGCUCUUAGCAGUUUAAUAUUUGAUACGAGUCCUCUGAGGACAACAUGUUACAUGGAUAUUUGGAACUAGAAGCUGGAGUAAGAGCUUCCUCCAUCCACCCUGUGCAACAACGUGCAACUGCAGCAUCGCCACAACAGUGCACCCCCU